GCACAAGCGGUGGAGCAUGCGGGUUAAUAGGAUGAUACGUCAAGAACCUUACCAGGGCUUGAAAUGACACGGACCGCCUGAGAAAUCAGGUUUCCUGGGCAACCAGGCCGUGCCACAGAUGGUGCAUGGUUGUCGUCAGCUCGUGCCGUGAGAUGUUGGGUUAAGUCCCGCAACGAGCGCAACCCCUACGUUUAGUUGCUAACGCGUGAAGGCGAGCACUCUAGACGAACUGCCGUUGACAAAACGGAGGAAGGUGGGGAUGACGUCAAAUCAUCAUGCCCCUUAUGUUCUGGGCUACACACGUGCUACAAUGGCCGGUACAGACGGACGCAAAGCCGCGAGGUGGAGCAAAUCCUAAAAAGCCGGUCUCAGUUCGGAUUGCAGGCUGCAAUUCGCCUGCAUGAAGUCGGAAUCGCUAGUAAUCGCGGGUCAGCAUACUGCGGUGAAUACGUUCCCGGGCCUU
rnacentral:rRNA from 1 species